rnacentral:rRNA from 1 species
CACCGCGGUUAUACGAGAGGCCCAAGUUGAUAACCACCGGCGUAAAGAGUGGUUAGGGCAGACUAUUAAACUAAAGCCGAACAUCUUCAAAGCUGUUAUACGCAUACGAAGAACAGAAACACAACCACGAAAGUGGCUUUACCUCACCUGACCCCACGAGAGCUAUGACA